rnacentral:lncRNA from 1 species
UUAUCAUCCACUCAACUAUGCAAAGUGCAACGGUUAAAUAUUAAGGUUCAUUCUAUCAGAAAGAGUUGAGUGAUAUUGUAUGAAUGCAAUGUAUGUGCACCAAAUAUUAGUGUCUUUGGGUGUUCUACCAGAGCUGCCAAGAUUCAAUGGUCUCAACUCUAACUUAUAGAGAAGACGAGUAUAGAACAUGGUGAAUGUACAAACAUCUAUCAGCAAAACAUAAUUCUGAUAUAUUUCCCAGCUAUCAGCAACGAAUAACCAGAAAGAGAGAUAAAUUACACAAAUAUAUGAC